rnacentral:siRNA from 1 species
CUACUCCUCGUGCACGGUUUCU